UACGUAGGGGCCGAGCGUUGUCCGGAGUUAUUGGGCGUAAAGCGCGCGCAGGCGGCUUCGCGCGCCCGACGUGAAAGCCCCCGGCCUAACCGGGGAGAGUCGUUGGGGACGGCGGAGCUUGAGGGCGGGAGAGGUCGGUGGAAUUCCCGGUGUAGUGGUGAAAUGCGUAGAGAUCGGGAGGAACACCUGUGGCGAAGGCGGCCGACUGGGCCGACCCUGACGCUGAGGCGCGAAAGCUGGGGGAGCAAACGGG
rnacentral:rRNA from 1 species